rnacentral:lncRNA from 1 species
UUCCUCUCGUCGUGAUCCUUUUCUGCUCGUCCUCAGCAUGAAGCCACGCCCAGCGCCUACGUCGACCAUCUCCCUGGCGCACCUCCCUGCUCCAUCCAUCAGACGCCAGUACUCAUGCCAAGCCAUCCUCCUCUCUCAGUUCAUCGGACGUCGAUCUCCGUUGCACUUGUCUCCCUCAAUGCUCUCCACUGUACGCCCAGUUGUCUCGAACCUCAUCGUCGUUUCUCAUCUACAAUCUCGUCAGCCUCUGCUCGACAUGUGUUUGGUGAAGAGCCUGAGCCAAGUGUUGUUGCUGCUUCCAGGGAUUCAUAAUUAAAUUGGUAAUAGUACUCUAGCUCGCUACUCCUACUAAUUAAUUCGAUGAAUAGAUUACUAAUUAAUUCGAUGAAUAGAUUGGAUGGAUAUUAAUUGCGAUGCUCGAAUCAGAUACUUAUAAUGUGCUAUAGUAAUUAUCUGUAUUUUAUUGUAUAUGUUUGCUGUUAGGUUAUUUCUCUACGGGAUAGGAUAUUGUGUUUCGCUUAUUUAAUCACGUUCGGUACGUAGACUUGUUAGGUGUUCGAGGAAUUGUCGGAAUUAGAAAUCGUUGCUGUUAACGGGUGUUGAGUGAAAUAUGGUCGCAAUGAGCCGUGUCGUUUUUGCUGCUAUUAGAAUUGAUGAAUGGAUGUGUCUAGUAUUAUUGAAUUAGUUCGAUGAAUGUGAUGGGAUUAUUUUCAUGAUUUAGAGUAGUCGCGUUGAGUGCUAUUGUUAGGUUUGAGAUGCUAAUUAUGUGACGCACGGUAAAUUAGUGAAUGAAGUUUAAAUUUAGUAUUUUAAAAAUGUCUAAUCGGGGAACCGUCGUCGCCCUCAAGGUUAUCGGGUCGAUUCGAUCAGGGUAAGCUGAUCUAUUAUUCCUGCUAGUUAAAUCUAGUAAAACUAGAAAAAUCAUGAUUGUUGUGUUUAGUGAGUUAUAGAUGUCUAGUGCUUACGUAGGAUUAUGUCGAUGUCUUGCCGCUAAAUAAGUGAUUCUCUUUUUUGUAUCAUCCGGUUACUUUAUGCUCAUACAUGUGCAUUGUGUAUCUCAUGAGGUACGAUAAUUAAUCCCGUGAGGCGAAGGAAAAGAGUUAAGUCGACCCCAAGCGCGGGCUAAUCCGCAGGAUGAUGCUGAUGAACGAACUGGAAGAUGGAUAAUCUGAACGAGUGCCAAGCCAAAGGAUGCUCGCCAAGUGGUCGCCAUCUAACAAACACUAACCUAGUGUUCUUCCAGGCAAGCCCCAGUGCAUUUGCCCCUUCCUUGUGUUUUAAAUGCUUUUUCACCUUAUCUGAUGCAUUAGGUGAUAGGAGUUGUGUGAUGAACAAUUGAUGCAUUACCAUUCCUUGGAAACUCCUUAAUCCCGCUUUUAUAAAAAAGAACUGAUAAUGCUUAGCCCUGCUUAGAAACUAAAAAUCAUUUGUUUUCAAAAAGAAUGAUUGUGGAACAUUGGUUAUGGGCCUUUCGUUUCAAAAAUCAAAGCAAACUUAUGGUGAUGAUUCCACUUCGGCCGGAGUGGGUUCAUCAUUCGGAAAAGAGUACCCCUGCCGGGUACCAAAAAUGGGAAAAUGGUUUGAAUACAUCUAGACCAGACGCUGAGCGGACAAGGUCGCCUGUCUGUGUCGAUUAAGGACCGUUCGAUGUAGGCCUGUUGUGGUGGAGACUUUGCAACUAGCCACAUGCUCCGGUAAGCCUGAACCCGGCUAUUCCAUACGUGAAAAGACAACCGCGCACUGGGCGUGGGAGAUGGUGGGAGUAGCAUGUACCCUCCUAGCUAGAGGCUGGAUGGAGGAGUACUGUGCUCCCGGGUAGCGCGGACCAGUUCACGUUGUGGAGGAUCUGUGGGAACGGUUGACAUAUGCAAGGGUUAAGUGCUACAUAUGUCGUGUGGUUAGGGAUCCCCAGCUGGGUAUAAUCGGUUCGAAUCGUCGUUGCUCCGCGGUCAUGGAGACUCUACCCUCCGACCACUCAUCGUAGUUGACAAGUGAAAUAUGAAUUAGCUAAAAGAAAGCUAGACCAGGACAAGUGGAUGCUCUAGAUUAGGCAAAUCUAGAUUCAGGGAAAGUACUUAACUUGUGAAGUAAAAUUUUGGCAUAAGGAUUCACUACUAGUAAGCUCUUCUGCAAAAUGAGUCCUUGAAAUUUGAUAAGCCUUACCUUGAUUCCUAAUGAGCCAUCAUAUCCUUGAGAGUCUUUUCUUUAGUCGGGUAAGUCUUGCUGAGUAAUUCCAUACUCAGGGUUUUAUUCCCUGUUGUUUUUUCAGGUCAUAGUUUUGUGCUGCUGAUGGUGGUGUUAAGUGCCGGUGGGCUCGGCCUUCUUAUAAGUCUAAGUAACCCUUCUAUACUUCUUAUUGAGGGUGGUCACUUGAGCUACCAUAUAUUUCAAACUUAUACUUUCGUAAUCACUCCGAUGAAUAUAAUGUAAAAUUUUUGUAACUUGUAAACUUUGGUAAUAAGAUUUCCGCUGCAAAAAUAUUGAUGUGUGUGAUUUGUGUUACUUAAUCCUGUGGUCCUGGUUGUAAGUGGUUUAUCCGAUGUCCUUGGGGCAAUCGGACGGAUCCUAUUAAGUUAUCUGGUGCACAUGCAGAGCCGUCUGAGGUCUUUGAGACAAGGACAGGUGCAUGUGGGCCCGAUAACUUGGGAGGUUCUGCCACAGCUGGUAUCGGAGCGGGAUUAAGUAUAUACGGUCACAUACGUAUUUUCAAAACAAAAGUUUUGGUUUUAGAAAACCUAUUUUCAACUAAACACAUUGUUUGGCUUUGAAAAACAGUUUUGAAAAACUAUAAUGCUAGCGACAUCCUCUGUUAAGCCCUAUAUUAAGGACUAUCAGGUGGCUUAGUUCAAAACCAGUAACCCACAACCGGGGGUAUUGCAUACAUGUGUAUUGUUAUUUUUGAGGCCAUUCAGUCUUGAAUGGAUCGACGCUCAGGUAAGGUGAGAUGUGAGAGCAUGACCGAACAACCGUCGGUCUAGGGAAGUGCUUAAUUGUGGCGCUUGAUUAUAUACAUGUUACACAUAUGUAUAUAUGAAGGCUGCGAUGUGGAGUAUUUAAUUUUUUUGGAAUUCAGUACCCCAUGGAGGUGUAUGGGUAUACAGACAUGGGAAUACUGAGAAGUGUAAUGUACUUGUAACGACGCACCUACGCUCAGGUAAGAAAGUGAGUUACCAUAAUGAGUUGCCCUAUGGUUAAAGUGUGGCAACGGCGCCUAUGCGUGGCUCGGCGCUUAAUGAUGAGCUAGCCUCCAUAUAGCAAUAUAUGGAGUAUAAACUGUGAUAAACUGUCAUGUCUGAACUGCAUCAUGGGAAAUUGGGCUGUGAUGAAAAUUUUCUGCAGGUACACUAACCUCGAAAACGUAUGUGUAGCUGACGACUAGCAAAAUACCGUGAGAGUCGUAAGUAUGCCACCGAUAUAGAACGUUAUUGCCACAGUAAGUUGGCGAAACUCGUGAGGACGCAUAAGACGAGCAUGCAUCCUGAUUGUUGCAUUAUGUUUGUCACCUAUACACCCAAGAUGCUUCUCUCAUCUUUAUUCCAGUAACUAGUGAUUGUAGAUAGUGUUGUGUUAUGAACCCCAAUGAAAUAGGUGUCCUCCAUUCUUUAGGUAAUAAGUUUAGGUGCUAUAUGUGUUUGCUCUUGUGCUUGAUGUGUCGAUAGAAGGUUAGUGACUUGUUUGCCUAAACCCAAAGUUAGGCCAUGUUCUUAUUUAGUGAACCACAACCCAAAUUUGAAAUUGUUCAUGACCAAACUCAUACAAAUAAAUGCGUAGAUAAUUUCCUUAUUGGACGUAAAGUGUACCCAAGCUUAAAACAAGAAUCUCAAGUCAUGUUUCCAACCAAAACCAUUCCCUUGUUUAGUUGGUGCAAGCUGAUGUACCUUAUCCAGUUUGCGUGUUCUUGAAUAUUGUCGUGUUGUUUUACCAUCUUAAUUUAGGAAAGCAUGUCCGACCAUUUUCUUAAGUUUGAUGCCUUUGGUUUCCCUAUACUUAUCGAAGGCAUACCAACUUAAUCUUAUGAUUGUUUUUCCCCCGUAUCUAAUCAGAUACUGAUCCUUGACCUUCUAAUCUCUAUGAUGGGCAUACAAAUAUGCUUGGGGCUGAAUUAACAGUCUCCCAUCGUACUCCUUUCAUUAACAAGUUUAGGUUAUGGCCAUGUCUUGUUCAUUUCAUCGGGCCAUAAUCUAUUUGGCUCUCUACUUGUAACCAUACUUACAGGUGGAGUAUUUCUUUGUAUAUUAUCACCUUGCUCAAUCCAUUUGUGUGGCGCGAGAUUUCUUAUUGGUUACGUCUGGUAAUGGUGUUAUGACUAAAACCGAUGGUGCCGCGACGAGACCGAGGGCCUCCUGUGAAUGUACACACAUGGUUGUGCUGCUCGGCGCACGCUAGUAUCAUGGUUAGUAGUUGUAAUCCAUUAUGAGACUAUAUCAAUGUGUUAUCUUAGCACAAUCUGUUUUUGCUACGUGAGAUUCAUUAUUGGUGCCAGUUUUGUAAUGGUGUCAUGGUUAGGAACUUAUGGUACCGCGGCGAAACUAAGAGCCCCUUGUGAAUGUACACGCAAGGUUCUACUGCUUGGCGCAUGCCGAUAUCGAAGUCUCUAGUCAUGAUCCGUUAUAGAAUUACACUGGUGUGUUAUCUUCCGUGGAUAUCUUCUUUGAAACGAUUUGUAUGUUGUUUGUCAAGUGAUCAAGCAACAUCUAUCAUCUCUGUUGGAUCAAAAGGUAAUACCCCUUUCAUGUGUGGUCUCUUUUCCUUGACUUUGAUGGUGACUUCACACAUACACUUUCCCUUUGCAUCCUUUGUGUAAAGGUGAAGCCUUGAAGCUUUUUAGUGUUGGAAGACAACUGAUUAGCUCUCAAAAUGGAGAUCUAUUUUCCCUGUCGUUGAGAUGCAGGAGUUUGAUCAUUCACUCUCUUAUUAAUCCCUAUAUUCUUUAACCAAGUGGAUAAUUCAUCUCGCAUGAAGAAAUGGAUGAACAACCUGACCAAAUGGAUUUCUACCCAAAUGCUUGAUCUCCUGCUAGUAAAUGUGAACUCUCAACCCUUGGCUUACCGAUGGUACUGAGAGGACCUGCUCAAUGUAAAAAGUAGUUCAACAAGUUGGUUUUACUAACUUGUAACUGCCUUGUGAACAAAGGUGGAGUUUAGAGAUCGUUUUAUCGAGUUGUCUAAACUCACUUUGACUCAACCCACCCUAAAGAAAGUAAUUACAAGAAUUGAGAUUAAGUCGGCCAGUAACCACCUAAUCAUCUCUCUAGUCAUGUCUCGAUCGCCUCACGUAUGGUUUUCCGAUGUGUGUGAUCAGGUCGAGCCAUGCCUAGUGCUCGAUAAAAUGGAUUGGUUGCGAAGUCAACAUCAACGGAUCUCUUCAUUGAUAUUUUCCGAGUCUCCAUCAUUUUCUUGGACUUGGAUUCUCUGGCUAACACGAGUUAACGGUGAUGUUACUCGACAUUCACACCCGUCUCGUGUGCUAUGAACUUAUCGCGACCACUUGUUGGUAAACCUCCUUCUGUGUGUUUUACCCAAGAUGGUGCAUCUGAGUCUGUUUAGGUAAAGUUGCAGAUCUAUCGCUCGCUCAGCAGACUCAGAUAGUACAGUGUCAUCAGAAAAAGCAAACUGCACACAUGGAACCUUAUGUGUUCCCAGGGCAGACAUCGUCUCUAUUGGUGGACAUCUCUAAAUUAGCUUGUGAUGAUACAUGCUAUAUCCACUAAAGGAACCCUAUUCUGAGAUACUCGCCUUCGCUGGAGACUGCCUUAUGAUUGUCGCUGGUAUAGACAUGGGUUACAUGCUUCUCUACUCUUAAAAGUCUUUCGCUCCGAAUCUCGGGACGAGAUUCUUUUAAGGGGAGAGGGCUGUAACACCCCAGAUGUUACUGUACGUCAACAGCGAUUAUGGAUUUAAGCGCGGGAUAUCAGUAAAUAAAGUGGACACUGCAUUUUUAUCAUCUCGCAAAGGUUCGAGCUUGGUGUCGUAUUUAAUUCCGUAAUCUACGCAAUUAAAAAGGGGUUGAGAAACUCUUGGAUUAUCAAAUCUUUGUUUGCUAGCAAAUUUUGAACUGUUCGGAUCACGCUCGUAAGUGAAUACAAAAAUCAGAAGGCUUCUGAUUUUAUGUAAAAUCUGGAACCCACGCUAUCCGAAAAGAACAAUGCGCCAGCACAUUAAGUGAAUCGUUCCUCUCAACAUGUGAUCAUUGGUGUUUAAUCAAAUGAUCGACCGCUGGUGAGGAUCGUAAAAAUUAGACGAAACUAAUUAACAGUCUCUCUGUCUUAAUCUGUUUCGUCUGUCGUUAGUUCGACGUCAUUUUUAUCUAUCCGGGCUUUUCCAAAAUUUUCGUGAUGUUCGGAACAUAAUUGUUCCGAAAAUCAGCGAGUCUAGUGAUUAUUCAAAAUUCAUUGAUCGCGCACAUACGAAUUUGGAAAUAUAGUUCAGCCCUUUGAGUUCAUUCCAAAUAAAUUAAUUAGGACUCGAUGAUAAAAGUAUUAAUGUAAAAUUAAAUUGGACCGAGAUAAUCAGAGCCGAAAUCGAAUAAUUCUUAAUCAAUUUGGUUUCAACUGAGAUCAACCACAGACUAAAAUAUUGAAGGCAAUGUCGUUUAGUAUGGUCUAUAAACACCUCACCUGAACCAAUUUCUAGGACACAUAUUUAUCCACAUGUUUUUAUAAAAAAAGAGAAGAAAAAUUCUAUUUUUCUUUCACCAUUUUAUAUCCCCAGCAUUAUCUCUUCUCAUCAUCACUCCUCUCAUCUAAUGGGUAGCGCUCUUUGAUUUUUUAGCCACCGCUUUGCACUUCUGCAUUAUCCCCCGACGCCGCUUUAAUCCCAGUUCCAUCUCUCGUAGCUGUACUUGGUCUUAUCCGUGUACAGAGUUCGUUCAUCUCUCCAACACGACAUCCCUCUCCAGCUCAUUCCAGCGCACUGCACCUUUUGCUCGAUGUCGUCCCCAGCUCCUUCAAGCAGCUGACAUCUAGAUUCUUUUCCUCACUCGGCCAUGGUGUCCAAUACCUCACCAUGUGUUUGCUCCCGACCACGCACUUCCUGCAAGCUGCUAAGCCAUAUCCCCUUCGAGCUCCUCUUUCAUGGUGCCGAGCCCUCUUCACUCGCUAUCUCUCUGCUCAGAGUGUCGCAGUCCCUGGUUGGGCUCCGCCCUCGCUGGAGCCCGGCGGUCGCCGUGGUCUCGGAUGCUGUCUUUAUCUUCCAUGGUGUUUGUCGUGAGCUCCACGUACGGCUCCGGCCAUCGUUCCUCUCGUCGUGAUCCUUUUCUGCUCGUCCUCAGCAUGAAGCCACGCCCAGCGCCUACGUCGACCAUCUCCCUGGCGCACCUCCCUGCUCCAUCCAUCAGACGCCAGUACUCAUGCCAAGCCAUCCUCCUCUCUCAGUUCAUCGGACGUCGAUCUCCAUUGCACUUGUCUCCCUCAGUGCUCUCCACUGUACGCCCAGUCGUCUCGAACCUCAUCGUCGUUUCUCAUCUACAAUCUCGUCAGCCUCUGCUCGACAUGUGUUUGGUGAAGCUGAGCCAAGUGUUGUUGCUGCUUCCAGGGAUUUAUAAUUAAAUUGGUAAUAGUACUCUAGCUCGCUACUCCUACUAAUUAAUUCGAUGAAUAGAUUACUAAUUAAUUCGAUGAAUAGAUUGGAUGGAUAUUAAUCGCGACGCUCGAAUCAGAUACUUAUAAUGUGCUAUAGUAAUUAUCUGUCUUUUAUUGUAUAUGUUUGCUGUUAGGUUAUUUCUCUACGGGAUAGGAUAUUGUGUUUCGCUUAUUUAAUCACGUCCGGUACGUAGACUUGUUAGGUGUUCGAGGAAUUGUCGGAAUUAGAAAUCGUUGCUGUUAACGGGUGUCGAGUCAAAUAUGGUCGCAAUGAGCUGUGUCGUUUUUGCUGCUAUUAGAAUUGAUGAAUGGAUGUGUCUAGUAUUAUUGAAUUAGUUCGAUGAAUGUGAUGUGAUUAUUUUCAUGAUUUAGAGUAGUCGCGUUGAGUGCUAUUGUUAGGUUUGAGAUGUUAAUUAUGUGACACACGGUAAAUUAGUGAAUGAAGUUUAAAUUUAGUAUUUUAAAAUGUCUAAUCGGGGAACCAUCGUCGCCCUCAAGGUUAUCGGGUCGAUUCGAUCAGGGUAAGCUGAUCUAUUAUUCCUGCUAGUUAAAUCUAGUAAAACUAGAAAAAUCAUGAUUGUUGUGUUUAGUGAGUUAUAGAUGUCUAGUGCUUACGUAGGAUUAUGUCGAUGUCUUGCCGCUAAAUAAGUGAUUCUCUUUUAUGUAUCAUCCGGUUACUUUAUGCUCAUACAUGUGCAUUGUGCAUCUCAUGAGGUACGAUAAUUAAUCACGUGAGGCGAAGGAAAAGAGUUAAGUCGACCCCAAGCGCGGGCUAAUCCGCAGGAUGAUGCUGAUGAACGAACCGGAAGAUGGAUAAUAUGAACGAGUGCCAAGCCAAAGGAUGCUCGCCAAGUGGUCGCCAUCUAACAAACACUAACCUAGUGUUCUUCCAGGCAAGCACCGGUGCAUUUGCCUCUUCCUUGUGUUUUAAAUGCUUUUUCACCUUAUCUGAUGCAUUAGGUGAUAGGAGUUGUGUGAUGAACAAUUGAUGCAUUACCAUUCCUUGGAAACUCCUUAAUCCGGGUUUUAUAAAAAGAACUGAUAAUGCUUAGCCCUGCUUAGAAACUAAAAAAUCAUUUGUUUUCAAAAAGAAUGAUUGUGGAACAUUGGUUAUGGGCCUUUCAUUUCAAAA